CCUGAUCAUUCGCACCUUCCUUCGACCAUCACCAUCGCCUGCAGACUUCGCCAAGCAAACGCUGCAAAGGCUUUCAUCAAAGGAUUAUAGAAUAUUUCAUCAAGUUGAUUAACAAGAAACAUGGAAAGAACAUCAGCAACCACAAUAGACCACUUGGAAAACUGAGGGAAGCUGAACGUGCCAAAAGAGCUUUAAGCAGCCAGCAGCAAGUUAGGACUCAUGCUUGAUUUGACGAGUUGAACAAUGACCUCUUUAGCAAAAACAUGGGACUUGUCAAGAAGGCUAUGGGGGAUGCUGGUUUGGAGAACCACCAGAUGCAUGAAAUUGUUCCUGUUAGUGGGGCUACCAGGAUCCCAAAAGUCCAAUAACUUCUCAAGGACUACUUUGAUGGAAAGGAACCCAACAAGAGUGUAAAACCAGAUGAAGCAGUGGCUUAUGGGGGUGGUGUUCAAGGAGGUAUUCUAAGCCGGAAAGGUGGUGAUGAAAGCAAAGAUAAAUGCUAUUCAUACUAGCUUUUGGAAGAUAUCUAUGG